ACUGCAUGAAAUUUUAUCAGGGGAAAAAAAUAAUAAAACUGAGAUCCAAUUUCACGAAAAUGCUCUUGCCAUAAUGCUCAGGCGAACAGGGGAAAGAAAGAGAUCCAAGCCCUCCUAAUGUCUACCUUAACUGCAGAAGCUGCCACCACACAACAAGUCCUGAUCCAACGGGAGUAACUCUCGAGCAACCUUUCUGUCUGCCCAACCAACUUGCCAGUGUGUCCUCAUUACCAUUCCCUGCUGGCUUUGUGCUUCAACCAAAUGCAGCAUCUGGGUGACCAGCAACAAAAUGAGAUGAGCUGGCCCAUACCCAGCUUGUUUGGAGGCAACAGACUCACAGAAAAGAGCAAAGUGAGUCAAGAAUUGACUUACUCAUUUUCACAAUUUCCUAUCAGAUAAAUCCACAGAACAGAGAAUUCCCUCAGGUAAAAUUCGCCAAAGAACGAUUACCCUGCCUUUCUCCCAGAGCAAACAAAUAUGAUGUGGCUUUGAUUGGAGGCAUGACACACAAUCAAUAUCCAGAGAGAUAAAACAGAGUGCUUUGCUAAAUCCUAAUGCAUGCACCAAGCUGUAUCAUAUGCCCCCAACUUCCUUUUGUAAAAGGACACGGUAUGACUGUUCUAAGGAAGGCUUUGCCUCUUUAGGUGUUUUCUUUCCUAUAAGCAUGGGAUGGGUAGGUGGGUGAGAGCAUGAGGAAGGGUUCUUAUGAAGACUCCCACAUCAUGAAGAAAAGCAAGAGCCAACCAAUGUUGGUUCACUUUGCAAAAGGGGAUUUGCCUGGAUCCAACUAGUUCAGAGAUGAAAUGUUGCUUGCAUGAUGAAGCCGAAUUUCCCGGUUCAUCACUUAGUCCCAAAGUGACCUGGAUCAUCUGGAAAGAAGAGGGCCAGUCAGAGAUGGUUUUAGGAUGAAAAACGCCAUGAGGGGGAAUGUCUUAGACACUCUGACGCCUUCUGACGCCUUCUCAUCAGCUCCAACAUGUGAAUCACAGUCUCCUCAGGUAAAGGGUCAUUUUGGUAAAAAAGGCCUCAAUCAACCUCCAAAUGAUUCAGAAAUACCUGGAUUUCUUCCCAAAAAGUAACCUCUCAGUACUUGUGAAACACUCAAUCUACAGAGAGAAAUACAUUAUAGCUUCUAUAAUAAAACAUAUAUUGAGAAAAGAUGUCAUCAUUAACUCAAACUGAACAAAUAUGCCCUCUCUGCUCUUCCUGGCCAAUAUAUACAUAUAUAUAUAUUCAAGAUGAUUUAUCAUAGCUCAGUACUAAUCCGAUCAAGAAACAUCAACUACAGCUGUUGAAUUUCCUAUUGCCCCCAGAAGAUUAUGAACAAUACAAAAGAACAGAUACCAGAUUGUUAGAAUCAUUUUUUUUUCUCACCUGGAUCCCCUGAGGCAAUAAAUUCCAUGCUGCUGACUUGAGGGCAUAAAGGUUGGGUUCCACUGGAUUAAAAA